CAGGGGGCUUUGGGGAGAAAAGGGAAAAAUAAAACCUUUAAGAACAAGAUAAAGCAUUCCAGGCAGAAAAAAUGUCACGAGCAACGAGUUAAAGGAAGAAAGUGAAAUGGGUGUUCAUGGUCUAGAGCAGCGGCAUCCAAUGACACUUCCCACAAUGACGGAAAUGUUCUGUAUCCACAAUCUCCAAUAUGGUAGCCGCUAGUCAUACGUGGCCCUUGAGCACUAGGAAUGUGGUUAAUAUGACUGAGGAACUGGAGUUUUGCUUUAAUUUAAUUUUAGUUAAUUUCAACUUAAAUAGCUACACGUGGCUGGUGGCUACCAUAUUGGAGAGCAACAGCUCCAGAGGGCAAGGUCUUUUCAUUCAAUCAGGCGAGCAGCGCAGCAGCUAUCAGGCCCCUUCCAUGUGCUGGGGUGGUUCUGGGCACGGGGGGAUCUGCAGUGACCAGACAAAGUCCGUGUCCUUGUGGCGCUCACAGGAAGUGGGGGGAGAUGGAUGAGAAACACAAAAGGUAAUUUCAUAUGUGACAUUCUAGCUUUAUGGAAACAAACAAAGCUAAGUCAUGGGUAGAAAGUGACUCCGGCUGGAGGGUGGAGGGUGGAGACUUCUGGGGGACCUCUCUGGGGUCUCAGUUGAGUGGGGACCUGAAUGACAAGGAGUCACAUCUGUGAAGAGCUGCGGGAAAAGCCUUCUAGGCAGAGGGCACAGUGAGUGCAAAGGCUCUGAGCACGGCAUGUUGGGGACAGAAGGCCAGCGAGGCUGGAGCGCAAUAAGGUGAGAGAGGCUGGCAAUGAGAGUGUACAGUCAUUGCAAGACAGGCAGGACCAGGCCACGCGGUCGUCCUAGGCCCCGGCCAGUUCUCUUCAUCCGUGGAGAACUGAAACUGAGGCUGACCCAGCCCGGUGCACCCAGAACAUCCCCAAAGAGAUCUUGAGAGCCCCCUCCAGUCCCUGAUACCCUGGAGCAGUGGGGCAGAGGGGAGGGCGGUGACAUUCGACCCACAGAUAUCUUUCCUCUGCUGAGCCCUCUUGCAUCAGGCGCCUAGGGAAGAAGUCCACUACUUCCCUGUCUCCUCUGUGACAUCUGUUUCAAAACUGGUUUGUUUUUAGAUGGUAACAUUUGCCCCCAAAACUUCUAUGACUCCUUCUUCUUGCUCCAUAAUACUAAGGUAUAUAUUUCUCUCAAUAAAGAAAAAACAAAUGUUGAGCACUUCUGAAGUGCCGGGCACUGAACGAGGCCCUGGGGAUGCAGUGGGAGCGUGGGGGCCUGGCACAAAGUCAGCCUGGAAGGGACGAGACAUCCGUCAGUGAUCCCAUGGAUGAGGGCAGAAGUGUGGACCGUGGCAAGUGCCCAGAAGGAAACGUCUACAGUCGAUAUUGGAGCAUCUAGCGCAGACUUGAGCUGGUCUGGCUGCGCAGGGAGGCAGGAGGAAAUGAACCGUGAUGAGAAGAGCAAGCCCUACACAGCCCCUGUUCUUCUAAUCCCUCUACACGCGGCAAUUCACGUGAUUCUCACAACACCCCUCGCAAGUGCCACAGAUGAGGGAAAGGUUAAGGCCACGGCCACCCACCUGGUUCGUGGCAGAGCCAGGAUUUGGACCCAGGGAGUCUGGCUCGAGUCCAUGCAUGAGUCCACUCUGUGUGGCUGGAGAGAGAGAUCCCAGAACAGAGAAGAGGCACCCUCCCGCUUUAGGUACGUCCAGAGCGGGCUUGACUGUCCACUGUCUUUCCGCUUUCCCAGGCACCCAGAAACUGCCCCAGUCCCUACUGCCUUGUCACUGACAGCAGCCGCACUGCUGUGAGCUGGCUUGGCAGACGGGAGGGCAUCGUGCUGAGGGAACACACAGCCCGGCCCUGGGGAGAUCAAGGAAGGCUUCCUGGAAGAAAUCACAUCACAGCUGAGUCAUGAAGGACAAGAGGCCCUUUCUCCGGGCAAAGGGUAUGGAGGAUGUUAGAGGAGGAAGCAGCAUAUGCAAAGGCCCAGAGGGAGCAUUGAACGUCUGAGCUACUGAAAGGGGUUCAGGACUAGAUGCUGAAGGGUCUGGGAGCCAACCAGAGCGUUGCCCACCAUCUGGGAGACUGAGCGCCCCCAGAAGCGCAUCAGGCAGAUUCCCAAAGGCCCAUGUGUUUCUGCAGGUUUUUCUCCCACAAAAAGCCAUAACGAGAGCAGACAAAGAGCAGCACAGAUAGAUGGAGCCCUACAAGAAGACUCAGUGUGUAACAGAAAGUGCGUUUGGAGUUCCGAAGAACUGGCAGUGACCAACGACAUUUUGGAACCCAAUUUACAAAGCAACUAAUGGCACAGUGCUAGGUGCAUAUCUUGGGCCAAAUAGAAACUCUAGGGUAAAUACUUUUAUUAUCCCCACUUUACAGGCAAGGAAACUGAGGGCCUAGGAAACUUGCCUGGGUCAUGGAGCUGGUGUACAAGUCAGUGGCAUUGUGUACAUUAACACUAUUGUGCGACCAUCACCACUGUCUAUUUCCAGAAUGUUUUUAUCAUCCCAGACGAAGACUCUGUACCCAUUACGCACUAACUUCCCUUUUCCCGCUUCCGCCAGCCCCUGGCAACUCUCACCUGACUUUCUGUUUCUAUAAAUUUGCCUGUUCUCGGUCCCUUACAUAAGUGGAAGAUGAGUGGAAUCAUACAUUUGUCCUUUUGUGUCUGGCUUAUUUCACUUAGCAUAAUCUUUUCAAGGUUCAUGCAUAUGAUAGCAUAUACCAGAAUUCCAUUCCUCUUUAAAGAAACUAUUUAAUAUUGUGUAAGGAAACAAUAUUCCAUUGUCUGGAUACACCUUAUUUUGUUUAUUCAUCUGUUGACGGACAUCUGGGUUGUUUCCACAUUUGAGCUGUUGUGAAAAGUGUUGCCAUGAACACGGGUAUACAAGUAUCUCUUUCAAUGCCUGCUUUCAAUACAAUCGGGAUAUUGACAUCGACACAAUCCGCGAUCUCCAGAUUUCUCCACUGUUACUCGUAUUCAUUUGUGUGUGUGUGUGGGUGCGUAUUGAAUUCUGUACAAUUUUAUCAUACGUGUAGGUUUGUGUCUGCACCACCAAGGUCAAGCUACUGAGCAGUGCCAACACCACGUUACCCUUUCGUAAUCACACCCACCUCCCCCCACCCCCCACCUCACCCGUCUCUACCUGCUGGCAACCACUAAUCUGACCUUUAUUCCCAAAUUUUGUCAUUGCAAAAAUGUCAUAUAAGUGGAACCAUACAGUGUGUAACGUUUUGAGAUGGACUUUUUUCACUUGGCGUGAUGUCCUGAAGAUGCAUCCGUGUGUUGUGCGCAUCAAUAGUCUGUUCCUUUUAUUGCUGAGUGGUAAUCCGUGGUUUGUACUGCAGUUAAUGUAACCAUUUUCCUGUCGAAGGAUAUCUGGGCUAAUUCUAGUUUUUGGCUAUUCCAAAUAAAGCUGCUUUAAACACUCAUA